rnacentral:rRNA from 1 species
AUUGAACGCUGGCGGCAUGCUUUACACAUGCAAGUCGAACGGCAGCGCGGGCUUCGGCCUGGCGGCGAGUGGCGAACGGGUGAGUAAUACAUCGGAACGUGCCCAGUAGUGGGGGAUAGCUCGGCGAAAGCCGGAUUAAUACCGCAUACGACCUGAGGGUGAAAGCGGGGGAUCUUCGGACCUCGCGCUAUUGGAGCGGCCGAUGGCAGAUUAGCUAGUUGGUGGGGUAAAGGCCUACCAAGGCGACGAUCUGUAGCUGGUCUGAGAGGACGGCCAGCCACACUGGAACUGAGACACGGCCCAGACUCCUACGGGAGGCAGCAGUGGGGAAUGUUGGACAAUGGGCGAAAGCCUGAUCCAGCAAUGCCGCGUGUGUGAUGAAGGCCUUCGGGUUGUAAAGCACUUUUGGCGGGAACGAAAAGGACUGUGCCAAUACCACGGUUCGAUGACGGUACCCGCAGAAUAAGCACCGGCUAACUACGUG